GCCAUGUUACCGUGGGGAGAAGACCCAUGAGGCUGAGUCCUUGAGUCCUAGAAGAAGCUGGAGGAUUAAAAUGAACAUGAAGUCUAUUUCAGAAGAUGGACAUGAUAUCAAGCUCUACAGAAGCAUGGAGCAGAUGAAGAGUAUCACAGAAACUCACAGCUGGUCAAGAAUGCAGAGGACAGCAGACAACUGCGUUUGAAACAUCGGCAAGACAGUCUCUAAAGCUAAGAGUCUAGGACCUGCAUCAAAGAGCAGGGGAGGAAAGAUGAGCCUUCAUACAGUAGCUGAUGGAAACAGCUAAACACGGAGCCGAACUCCUG